GACGAACGCUGGCGGCGUGCCUAAUACAUGCAAGUUGAGCGCUGAAGGUUGGUACUUGUACCAACUGGAUGAGCAGCGAACGGGUGAGUAACGCGUGGGGAAUCUGCCUUUGAGCGGGGGACAACAUUUGGAAACGAAUGCUAAUACCGCAUAAAAACUUUAAACACAAGUUUUAAGUUUGAAAGAUGCAAUUGCAUCACUCAAAGAUGAUCCCGCGUUGUAUUAGCUAGUUGGUGAGGUAAAGGCUCACCAAGGCGAUGAUACAUAGCCGACCUGAGAGGGAGAUCGGCCACGAUGGGAAUGAGACACGGCCCAAACACCUACAGGAGACAGCGGUAGGGAAUGUUCGGCGAUAGACAAAAGUCUGACCGAGCAACGCCGGGUGAGUGAAGAAGGUUAUCGGAUCGUAAAACUCUGUUGGUAGAGAAGAACGUGGGUGGGAGUGAAAAGCUCAUCAAGUGACGGUAACUACCCAGAAAGGGACGGCUAACUACGUG
rnacentral:rRNA from 1 species